GAUGAACGCUGGCGGCGUGCCUAACACAUGCCCGUCGAACGAAGCAAUUGAAGGAAGUUUUCGGAUGGAAUUCGAUUGACUGAGUGGCGGACGGGUGAGUAACGCGUGGAUAACCUGCCUCACACUGGGGGAUAACAGUUAGAAAUGACUGCUAAUACCGCAUAAGCGCACAGUACCGCAUGGUACAGUGUGAAAAACUCCGGUGGUGUGAGAUGGAUCCGCGUCUGAUUAGCCAGUUGGCGGGGUAACGGCCCACCAAAGCGACGAUCAGUAGCCGACCUGAGAGGGUGACCGGCCACAUUGGGACUGAGACACGGCCCAAGCUCCUACGGGAGGCAGCAGUGGGGAAUAUUGCACAAUGGGCGAAAGCCUGAUGCAGCGACGCCGCGUGAGUGAAGAAGUAUUUCGGUAUGUAAAGCUCUAUCAGCAGGGAAGAAAAUGACGGUACCUGACUAAGAAGCCCCGGCUAACUACGUGCCAGCAGCCGCGGUAAUACGUAGGGGGCAAGCGUUAUCCGGAUUUACUGGGUGUAAAGGGAGCGUAGACGGCGAAGCAAGUCUGAAGUGAAAACCCAGGGCUCAACCCUGGGACUGCUUUGGAAACUGUUUUGCUAGAGUGUCGGAGAGGUAAGUGGAAUUCCUAGUGUAGCGGUGAAAUGCGUAGAUA
rnacentral:rRNA from 1 species